UGGAGCGCAGCGCCUGCGCGCUACCGGCGCGCGCGGCGCCUCCCGCGGGCCUCGGCGGGGCGGGAGCGGGCAGGGCCCGCCCGCUGGCGAGGGCGCGGCGGCCGGGAAGCGGGUGGGCGGCUGAGGUUUCCCGGGUUAUUGCCGAGCAGAGGGCGGGGGGGGGGUUCCCCGCCGCGCUGCUGACGCCGGCAGCCUGGCCCCGGGGAGGGGAGGGCGGACGGUGUGCCCGGAGCCGCCGGGCCCCGCUGGUCAGCGGGGGGCGGCCGGCGAGGGGCUCAGGGUGUAGGGGGGAGCGCGCCCACCCAGGGGCUGGGGGGCGACCGGCCUGUGGGGCAGGGGAGGAGGAGCUCUUGUUAGAGGAUUUGAGAUCAAAUCGCACAAAUUUAUAAGCACUUGAAAAAAUGUUGAAUCAGGUGCUGCCAAACAGGAUGGACAGUCCAGCUUUUUUCACCCUCCUGGUUCCAUAUCUCCUGCCCAGUGUCCCAACACCAGAUUUUGUGCCUUACCCAUUCAAGGUCGGUUUGGACAAGUGAACCAUUUGUAUGUUCCACAGGGUACCUCACCCCCAUCCCGAACCAGGUCAGGAGAAGAAGAGUGCAGAAAAACUUCUACUACACACAGUCACAAAUAUAAGGAGAAUGCAGCAAAUUUUUAAGUUCCUGCUGGAGAUUCUGGAAAGAACUCUUUCCCCAGACCUAAAAUGGAGACAGUUUGCGGGACCUUAACACCCAUGCUUCUUCCCAGGCAUUGAAAGGAAAGAGAGCCACUUGCAGGAGUUGUCGUGUUUCCUCUUUCUCAAGCCUCUCAUGGAAAAAAUUAUUACAGCUCUUCGCUCAUGUUUAUUUCUUACCCCAAACUUUGGUCCACUUUCUGGAGGAAGGGGUAAAGGAAUUAUUUUUCUUGCUGUCUGCCACAUUGCUAUCUGAGUCUGCAAAACCAAGGGGAGGGCAUGAUUUGCUGCGAGGGAAGGAAUGAGCAGUUAGAAGAAGGGAGAUCCUACGCCAGCACUGAGGCUGAAGAAAAUGCCUCAGUGUACCGCCUCAGAAAUGUUUGUGUCAGCCCAGCUGAUGUGGUGGUGGUAUGUGGUGCUAUGGGAUCAGCAGGUGUUAGAGAGCCAGGAUCUCUUUCCAACUGCACAAUAGCUGAAGAAAACGGAUUGUGAAAUGGUGCUGUCGUUACGUAGCAGUGUUACGCUCAGCAUGUCUCACAAGAGGAUUUCGUUAGAGUCCCUUCCUUUUUCUUGAGCAUAGACUCAGCUGGUAGACUGACCUUUGUACUCAAUGUGAAUGCAAAUGCAGUAUUGAGCUUUAUAAUGAACAAGUGUUUAACUGUUUUGAUUGAAAUAUCUGCUCACUGGCAUGAAGAAUUUAAGUUUGUGAAUGGCAACAUGCAUACAUAAUAUUUUAUAGCUCAUUACACAAAAAUAAGUGAGAACAAGGGGUCACCAGCUCUUGACAGAGAUUAGAUAUUCUGAGGAUCACAUCUGAGAGUGACAGCAUGCCUAGCAUACGUGUUAUGUAAACAGCUUAAGAGAUUUUUUUGUGAUAAUACUGUGUAGACUUCUUGGAACCUUAUGAAAGAUGAGAUCAAUGAAAAAAAAAGAUUCAGCUUUCUACAGAGAAGUCAAGGAAAUGUAAUCCAGACUCAUUGACUGCUUCUGUAGUAGGAAAUCAAUGUCUGGUCAAACUCCCCAGGCAGUAUAACAUACUGUUCCAUACUGUUCAAUUAUUAGAGCUGGCCUUGGCAUACUUUCUGCUUGCACCAACUUUCUGCUUGCACCAACAGAAUCCUCCCAAACAGUUACUGGCAGGGGCUGCUUUCAUCUCAGGGAUGAUGGGGUCCAUCUGCACCAGAACUUUACAGACUUGCUUAAAUCUUUCCUUGUCUUUAAUUGUUACACAUUGGAAAGAGAAAAAAACAGCCAUUAACAUGUAAAGAGUCUUGUAACUUCCUCCUAUGUACUUCUUUUCAUGCUUAGCCCAAGUGGCCAUAUGCCCAUCUUUGUGAGAAAGUUGUUGCAACAUAUAACAACUUAUUACAUCAUGGAACAGGUUUCCAUAGUUUUUUGUUUGUUUGUUUGUUUGUUAACUAUCAAUUGUAUCACAGAGUUCAUGUUCAUUCACAUGCAUGUGCAGUAGACCUCAGUGGGGAUUUUGCUGACUUGAAGAAAUAGGCACAGGUUCUUUGUCUCACUCGGUCUGAAAUACUCCAUUUACUUCUCUGUUUGUAAUGACAGGCAUUGCAGUUAUUUACAUGCUUGCUCACAGACGAGGCUACGUACUGGACCUUUAAGCUUUUGGCUUUGAAAUGUUGCUCAAGCUCCUUUGAAAAACUAAGACAGAUACAAUGUUGGUGUGGGAACAAGUCUGCAGCCUGUAUCAGAAUGUUGUUAGGAAAUGCCUGUUUGUAAGGUAGUGCCACCUCUUCUUUAAAUGCUAUCACAAAGAGAAAUCACAAAGACAAGCUAUCUCUGACCAAGCUUUUUCCUAGUGAUUAAAAGCACUACCUGUGUUCACUUUCAAUAGAUAGAGAUAAUAACCCCUUUCCCAAAAAGCUUGUCAGUGAUCACCUACACAUUCCAUGAAUCCUAAAGAAGUUUGGUGGUCCUUUCAUACAGAUUUUGGGUAGAAAUACACAUCUUUUCUCUAACAGUGAUCCAAACUUCUGUCCAUUUUGAUUCUCCACAGCUACCGCUCUUUCUCUCAAAAUCCUAGUUCCCAGAACCUGAGAACUAAAGACACCAAUCCCAAAGCCGUCUAGGUGUGCCAUUAUCAGAGACUUCUGUCAUGUGAUCCAUAGCCCAGAGUUAAAGCCCUUUUAAACGCCUAUGCUGCAUGUCCUAUAAUUACCUUUGCACUGUAUCCUGAAGAAAGUAGAUAAAUGAUGUACUGUGAAAAUCACUGCAUCACCAAGUGCUUUUAUUCAUCUAGCAGGAGCUGUAUAGGCUGGUCACCUCUCCAACGGAGCAGCAGCAAUGCACAAUACUUAGCAGUCAACCACCCAAUCAAGGACAACAAGUUUGUUUGAGUCUGAGGAAGGUGCUUGCCUGAAGUGUAAGGCUUAAAAAAACCCAAAGAGACAGGGUAACAAGGAUGGUUUAAGAAGAAAGACUGGGUUGUGAGCCAAUCGGCAAGUCACUUAGAGGUAGCAAUAUUUUCAACAAAAGAGCUGCUCUGCUGUAGCUAUGUUGGAAGACGACCCUUCAUACUCUGUUAAUGGUAUUUGUCUAGGGUAUGUGACCUGAUAUGCACCCUGGAAUAAAACUAACUUAAUGAGCAGUAAUGCAGAGCAGUUUCUUAUAACAGGCUAUGUGCUCUCAGCUCUAGUACCUUGAUAGUUCUGGGUUGGAGGGAGAGUCAUUAAUCUUUAAAGAUCAUAAAAAUCAUCCGUAAAAGGAGAAACCUAAUUUUUUGGGGGCUCUGAAUGAGGUAAAAGAAGACUAACUAAGAGGUUUUGACUUUCUUAAGUAUAUUUGAACAUCCUGAGACCCUUAAAAAGAGAAAAGCUAGAGACAGUAAUUGUAUUUAGGAGAAUGUUUAUUUUCUUAAUACUGUGUAAUCUUUUGUGCUUUAUAAAUGAAUAUCUCAUCCCCAGAUACAGAACUCAGUGAAACCUAACCACCUUGCUUGGCAAAAACAGCACUGUUACAGAAGUGAGACUAAUCUACUAUUCUGAUUAAGAGAUGAGGAAGGGAUUAGAUAUCCCUGGGUAUGGAAAGGACAAACAUGAUAAAGAAAAUCAUGGUUCAGUCAAGAGCUCUGUCCAGUGCCUUUAUGAACUUCUGUUUAUUUACAUCUGACCUACACCUCCUGAGAGUUAAGGUAUAGACCAGAAAGAUCAUAUCUUCUGUAAUGUUCUGGAACAGGGUGCUGUUACCUAGGUGCACAAAUGUCUUCUGAUAAAGAGUCCCACCUCAUAAAACAUGCUAGUACCCUAAUCAGUCUAAAUCAGGAGAAAAUGUUCGGUCCUUUGUUCUUUCAAUAAUCCAAUGUCUCUGUUUGGCAUGGGAAGUCCCAUGCAAAAUCCUUUCCAAACAUUAGCUAUGUUUUAGAGAUACUGUACAUAGUGCAUUAAAUUAGACCCAUAAUUAUUUUAGUGUGCAAAUCAGUCUUGUAUAGACCAGGCUCUCAUUCCAUAGACUGUUGGGGACAAAGUAAAGAAUGGAAAUUGGUUGUUGUGCUGAAUUUUAUGGAUUUGUAGAAAGCAUUUUGAUAGCAUGAACAGAGACUCAAAAUGCUAGAUACCACAACUCUGCGAGGUAUCUGGUGAUUAAAACUUCAUGACAGGAUCCGUCAUGUGAAGUCAGGAUAAGCAUUAAUCUAUUCGAUCCAAAUUACAUAUUUUUUCCUUGCAAAUCUCUGUAGGACUAUUCAAGAACAGAAUAGAAUGAGAAAAAAUAGGGAGAUCUGGGAGUGGGCACAGGUACUUUCAAAAAUACAUGUAAUACAGAAGAAAUAUUUUAUAAACAAAACUGGAAGAACCCAACUUUAAGGUAUUUUUUAAUCCUCAUGAUUGCCUGGGUCCUGACUGAAACAUGUAAGUGCUCAUAGUAUUUGUUAUAGGGAAUUUCUGAAUAUGCUGAUACUCUUGCUUUAUCUGUGGCCCUUCUAUUUCCAUUUUAGAAUAAUCUAAGAAACAUUUCCCAAUGAAGGAAAAGUAAUCAAAAUAUUCUGUCUGGCAACAACUGACAGAAUAUGAAAUCUGACUGGCUGAGCAAUGUGUGUGGACUGAUGAGCCAAGCAGCAGGUAUAUAACUCAUACUGGCUGUCUCAAGUGCAAUUUUUGCCUAGUGAAGGUAUCAUAUGGGACACAAUGUGAGGACUGGAUUUGGAAAAUAAUGCCAGUAAUCCAUAGGAAACCAGGCUUCAUUAGUUCUGCUGCUCACAGAAAAAAACCUGUUAUGUGAACAUGUGUUUUGUGAAGCAAGUCCUAUUAUCUGGAAAGGGAGGAGGCUAAUUUGAACAAGUUCCAAAGAAAGAAGAUGGAGUCAAAUAAAAAAAUCAACAUAUUAAAAAGCAUCCCAGACAAACUUUCAUUUCAUUUUCAGAAACUUCCAAAGAGAACUAAAUUGUCACUGCAAUCUCCUAGAAUUGAUUAACAACCUGAAAAGGAAGCUGAGGAUUUCCAGAUACUCACUUGUACACAAUGGCAUCCUGGUUACCCUUAGGUAUAGUUGAGCUGGAGUGGGCUUCAGUUCAGGAUCCUGCAAGGAAAGGGAGUAUUCCUGAGCCAGCGUACCAUUGGGCUUUUCCAUGCACAUGUGAAAGACGUCCCAGAGAAAUCUCAAAUGACAGAGACUAGUGUUCAAUUUAAUUCUUUUUUUUGUUUUAUAUUUGCACCCUUCUUUCCAAAUUUAUCAGCAAUCUCUUUUUAUCUUAACUCUUUGUUAGAUAAAAUUUAUUGGUUUUAUAUUGUGCUUAUCUAUUGUUUAAAAAGAACCCCAGCACAUCUAAUAAAAGUGAUGAAUCUUAUUUUUCUGAUGGUAUCAAAUCCCUGUGGUAGUAAAGGUAAAAUGGUAGCACAAAUAAAUUCACUAGGUACCUGUAACCAAAGAUAAAUCUGGGAAUCACAGAGGUGAAACAGAUUUUGUUCCAAGCUGUGAGGGUCAGUUGUGAGUCUGCCCUCAUCCUAAGCCAGGAAAAGGAAAGGAGGCUUUAGGUGGGCAUUUUCAGCUCCUCUGUAAAAGGGGCAGCCAGAGAACAAAACUCUAUGAUAACGUGAAAACUUCACAUUGUUUUUAUUCAAAGUAUUCUACAUGAUCUGCAUUGCUCAUUACUGCCUAUGCUGCUGAAAGAGAGGCAAGCGGCUUUAUAUUCCAAGUUCUUCUGAAGUGUGAAGGAGCACUGGAAUAGAGAGGAGGAAGCUGGUACAUCAUCUGAAGCCAGGAUAAAAGCUUGGUCUUCAUUCUGCACAAUAAUUUAUCGUGUUGGGAAACUGCUGUUGCUGAGCUGUGUGCUAAUUAACAAAGAAGCGUGUUGAAAACAGUAUUGGAUUAGGAUAUCAGUUAUCAGGCUAAUUAAUUGUUUCAAAUCUGUUAGAUUGAGAGGAGUAUCAAUUCCAUCAUUCAAGGAAGCAGAGAGAUGCCUUUUGUAGCACUGCACUAGACUGCUCACCUCUGUCCCAAGAGGAUGAGUACAGUCAGAAACAGGCGAAGUAAAGAGCUGUUGCACUGAACAGUGGAAAGCGGAUAUCCUGUCUUUUGAGAGGAAGCUAAAAAAGCUUGUGCUGUCCAAUCUGAUAAAAAAAAGGCUGGGAAGGGAAAUGACUGCUUUCUGUAAGUACAUUAGUUGUUUAAACUAAGACAAAGGUUACUCAAAAUCAGGAAGUAUAAAAUGUUCAUGCCUGAAUUGAGGCUGCAAAUUGGAAGAAGCUUUCUAAUUUUCAUCAGAGUUAGAGCUUGGAACAGUUUCCCAGGAAGGUUAAUGGGAACGAAAAACAUGGUUAAUUUUAAUAAAGGGUGUGAUCAUUUAAGAAAGCAAUUAUGUGACAAGAUUAUCUGCUAUAGCAGUGAAGAGGAUUCUGGUCCAUCUAUUUUGAUUACUAGUAAACUAAAGGAUUUUAAAAAUGUUAUCUGCUAAGAAUAUUUUAUUUUAGAGUAUGUUUUUCUUUGUAAAAUAUAUUAUUGAUAUCCCCUCAACUUUUUUUUAAUUUUUGUAGGACAAAAAAUAACCAAUACCUCUGCAGGAGAAAAAUCUGCUGGCGAAAAAUCUGCUUGCAGUACUUUGAAAUAGAUCUACAAAAAUCUAAAGUCUGGAUUUUGAGACUUGGCAUGAAUAUAAUGUGAGCAUAUACUUAACCUGGCAAAAGGGAAUAAACCACUUGGUUUAACAGGACUCUUUCCAGUUUCUAA